rnacentral:rRNA from 1 species
CCUACGGGAGGCAGCAGUGAGGAAUAUUGGUCAAUGGUCGGGAGACUGAACCAGCCAAGCCGCGUGAGGGAUGAAGGUACAGAGUAUCGUAAACCUCUUUUGUCAGGGAACAAAGGCGGGGACGCGUCCCCGGAUGAGUGUACCUGAAGAAAAAGCAUCGGCUAACUCCGUGCCAGCAGCCGCGGUAAUGCGGGGGAUGCGAGCGUUAUCCGGAUUUAUUGGGUUUAAAGGGUGCGAAGGCGGUCUGUUAAGUCAGAGGUAAAAGCCCGGGGUUCAACCCCGGCCCGCCGUUGAAACUGGCAGGCUCGAGUUGGAGAGAAGUAUGCGGAAUGCGCGGUGUAGCGGUGAAAUGCAUAGAUAGCGCGCAGAACUCCGAUUGCGAAGGCAGCAUGCCGGCUCCACACUGACGCUGAGGCACGAAAGCGUGGGUAUCGAACAGGAUUAGAUACCCCUGUAGUC